UCGAAGCGCGUCUCUCUUUUGAGCGCCCAUGUUAGUUUGCGUCUCUUCUUGUUGUGAUCACAUCGGUCUUGGAAAAAUUUUAAGAUUUUGAAGAAAAUGGCAGAUAUUCUUGAAGAAUCAGAGUGAUUUGCCCUCAAAAAGAUGCAGUAAGUAUUUUUCGCAUAUAAAUAUGCAACUUUGGUCCUGGGUGAGGACUAGUUUCUCAUCCCAAGCAAACAACGCAAAUACAGCUUGAUAGCUAAUUAUAGAAAAUUAUUCUUUUAUUCCAGGCUAAUGUGAGCUAUACAAAAUUUCAUACCUCGAUUGUCGCAUUGGAACUGUGGAUUGAUAAUUAUAUGGCAGCUUAAACUGCGCGUGGAAAAAUGGAGUACAGGAAAAUUAAAGAUAUUUGCAUGCGGACCAAAACGUUCACUUCUAUAUAUCAAAGAUCCUGGGUAGUUUGCGGACGACGCUAAUUUUCCAAUGAAAGGCAAUAAAUUUGUUUGAAAACUCCGAUCAACAUUGAGAAAUUCUUGGAAACUGAAGUUUGAGCUAAAACAUUAAAUUGUGUGAAGUUUAGUGCGUUUGGUUUGAGUAGUGCAAAUCCAGCCGUAUUUUCACAAACAGCAGAAGGAAGCUACCGAGAGUCAUCGAUCAGCAGUGACAACACUAGAUAAGUACAGCCCACUGUUAAUCUUUUUUUUAAUUGUUUUGAUUUAUUUUUGUCUUUUGGAGUUUGUGAUACCAAUAAAAACCUGAUUAUUUUUAAAAUGGACUUGUACUAUUUUUCAUCAACCGAACCUACAAUAAAAAGUUAAAGGUUAAAGUAACCUAUUUGGACGGUAAAAAAAAGAAACUGAAAAAUAAAAUACAACCACCAAGUAGAAGUUGGAACAACCUUUAUUAACUAGGUUAAUUUUACCUUUAUAAAAAGGUACGGCGAAACUUCUGAAAAGGUACGCGGUUGCAGCCGCCGAGCGAUCCUUUACCUUCGCUUGAGGGUUGUAACAAACGUUCCGAUGAAGGUUGAAACAACCGUCUUUGAUGGUUAAAAUGCCUCGUACCUUGCAAGAAGGUUGUUUUAACGUUUACAAAUUAUUGACACCCCUGGAACCUUUUUUUGGAGGUUGUUGCAACCUUUAAAAGGUAAAAGAGUUUUUCAGUGUAUUGAAG